UUUGACGCCUUCGUGAUGCCAUUGAAGAGCUCCAGAACCCGAAACACCAUUCUUCGCCCGUAUCAUCCACCGCCAUCACCAAAUCGAAUUUAUGGUUUUUCUACAGUGAUUGGAAUGGUUAAGUCAGGGUUUAAUACUUCGUGAAUUGAACAGGUGAUGAAGAUCCUAACAAGAGAAACAAACUAGUUCAGGACUUGAAUGAUUUAACUGGAGAAGGAAACAUUGAGAGUAUGCUUGCAGUAGAUUCAGUAGAUUAUUUACAGUCCUUUGUUUUGUAGCUACUUUACUGUAUUUGUUAAAAGUCCUCUAUAUUUCUGAUUCUCUUGGUUGGAAUUGGACUUUAUAGUGGAUUGCGAGGCAACUCUUAUUAUAUUGCUAUCAACUUCAGUCAUCCACUGGCUGAGCAACAGAUAAAAGCUGUGGACAGAGUUUUGUCAGAACUAGAUGUGUCUUCGAUACCAAGGUUGAUGGUGUGGAACAAGGUUGAUAAGGUGAGCGAUCCUGACAGCAUCAGAACAGAAGCAGAAAAGAGAGAUGAUGUUGUUUGCAUAUCUGCUCUGAGUAGCCAGGGCUUGAAUGAUUUCUGC